CAGUAGCCGCGGGAAUACGUAGGGUGCAAGCGUUAAUCGGAAUUACUGGGCGUAAAGCGUGCGCAGGCGGUUAUAUAAAACAGAUGUGAAAUCCCCGGGCUCAACCUGGGAACUGCAUUUGUGACUGUAUAGCUAGAGUACGGCAGAGGGGGAUGGAAUUCCGCGUGUAGCAGUGAAAUGCGUAGAUAUGCGGAGGAACACCGAUGGCGAAGGCAAUCCCCUGGGCCUGUACUGACGCUCAUGCACGAAAGCGUGGGGAGCAAACAGGAUUAGAUACCCGUGUAGUCCCUGUCUCUUAUAC
rnacentral:rRNA from 1 species